rnacentral:rRNA from 1 species
UGGGGAAUAUUGCACAAUGGGGGAAACCCUGAUGCAGCGACGCCGCGUGAGUGAAGAAGUAUUUCGGUAUGUAAAGCUCUAUCAGCAGGGAAGAAAAUGACGGUACCUGACUAAGAAGCCCCGGCUAACUACGUGCCAGCAGCCGCGGUAAUACGUAGGGGGCAAGCGUUAUCCGGAUUUACUGGGUGUAAAGGGAGCGUAGACGGCAUGGCAAGUCUGAAGUGAAAUGCGGGGGCUCAACCCCUGAACUGCUUUGGAAACUGUCAGGCUGGAGUGCAGGAGAGGUAAGUGGAAUUCCUAGUGUAGCGGUGAAAUGCGUAGAUAUUAGGAGGAACACCAGUGGCGAAGGCGGCUUACUGGACUGUAACUGACGUUGAGGCUCGAAAGCGUGGGGAGCAAACAGGAUUAGAUACCCUGGUAGU